AGCGAGGUAUAGAGUUCCUACGUAUUCUACCACUGUAGGAACUUCAUACCGUGCUCU
rnacentral:precursor_RNA from 1 species